rnacentral:rRNA from 1 species
UACGUAGGGUGCGAGCGUUGUCCGGAAUUACUGGGCGUAAAGAGCUCGUAGGUGGUUUGUCGCGUUGUUCGUGAAAACUCACAGCUCAACUGUGGGCGUGCGGGCGAUACGGGCAGACUAGAGUACUGCAGGGGAGACUGGAAUUCCUGGUGUAGCGGUGGAAUGCGCAGAUAUCAGGAAGAACACCCGUGGCGAAAGCGGCUCUCUGGAACGGUACUGACGCUGAGACGCGAAAGCGUGGGGAGCGAACAGG